AAUAUUGCACAAUGGGGGAAACCCUGAUGCAGCGAUGCCGCGUGAAGGAAGACGGUUUUCGGAUUGUAAACUUCUAUCAGCGAGGAAGAGAACGGACAGUACUCGAACAAGCAGCCCCGGCUAACUACGUGCCAGCAGCCGCGGUAAUACGUAGGGGGCGAGCGUUAUCCGGAAUUACUGGGUGUAAAGGGUGUGCAGGCGGCAUUGCAAGGUUGAUGUGAAACCCCGGGGCUUAACUCCGGGCAUGCAUCGAAAACUACAGAGCUAGAGUACAGGAGAGGAAAGCGGAAUUCCUAGUGUAACGGUGAAAUGUGUAGAUAUUAGGAAGAACACCAGUGGCGAAGGCGGCUUUCUGGACUGAAACUGACGCUGAGACACGAAAGCGUGGGGAGCAAACA
rnacentral:rRNA from 1 species